GCCCUCUUCAUAUCUUCUUUUGUUACUCUUUCAUCAUCAAAUUUGUACCAUUGAUCAGAAAGUGUUGGCCUGAUAAAAGCAUAAUAAUGUCCACCAUGAACCCCACCACUGUGAACAAGAACACCGUGAAGAGUAUAUAAGUUGCGAACACUCCUAUCAGCGUCAGGUGAUAAAUAUUUGCCAUUCUCUCGAUCAAGGUCAAGUUGCAAAGGGAAUUCAUAACGAUCAUUAAUCUUUACCAUAGUGUCCCGCAUAAAAUCAUAUUCAAAUCGUUUUAGCUGUAGCUGAAGGACGGGGGGGAAAUCAAUAAACAACACACCUUUCUUAGCAUCCUGCAAUCCAUAUUGUUCAGCAUGAUAUUUAUUAUCACCCUCAAGACGUUCAACUUCUACAUACUUAUCAAAAGAAGCAUAAACAUCACAACAGCCUUUUACAUCAAGCUGAAGGUCAUAAAAUGACUCCUUCCUUGUAGAUUUGUAAUCCACAUUGAUGCA
rnacentral:misc_RNA from 1 species